GCAUUAAUGGGGUAGUGGUAACCUGGGUCGUUGCCAUAUGUUAGCUAUUAGGCAUGUACAUAGGUCAAUAUAUAACUCGACCCGCCGGGAGUUCGAUUCUCUCUUAAUGCA